rnacentral:rRNA from 1 species
GGGCCCGCACAAGCGGCGGAGCAUGCGGAUUAAUUCGAUGCAACGCGAAGAACCUUACCAAGGCUUGACAUACACCGGAAAAGUGCAGAGAUGUGCUCCCCGUAAGGUCGGUGUACAGGUGGUGCAUGGUUGUCGUCAGCUCGUGUCGUGAGAUGUUGGGUUAAGUCCCGCAACGAGCGCAACCCUUGUCCUGUGUUGCCAGCACGUAAUGGUGGGGACUCAUAGGAGACUGCCGGGGUCAACUCGGAGGAAGGUGGGGACGACGUCAAGUCAUCAUGCCCCUUAUGUCCAGGGCUUCACACAUGCUACAAUGGCCAGUACAGAGGGCUGCGAGACCGUGAGGUGGAGCGAAUCCCUUAAAGCUGGUCUCAGUUCGGAUCGGGGUCUGCAACUCGACCCCGUGAAGUCGGAGUCGCUAGUAAUCGCAGA